ensembl:lncRNA
CCAGAGUACUCAGAGAGAACCCACACAGACACCAUGCAGACAGGCCACUGGGCGGAGUCGAACCCAGGACCUUCCUGCUGUGAGUUUCCAGCGCUGAGGACAACAGGUUUCUUCUUCUGCUCUGCAGUUACUCUGAGAUGUAACUUUGACAGUGGGGAAAGCCCGGACGUCUCUGCUGUACCGCGGCGAUGCACACUGAUGUCCUCAUUGCGGUGGGAUUCGAACCCGGGCUGACACCACCACCCAACAGCGUGACCACGCCACCAUGUCAUUCCCCCUAUAACAUCUCUUUGUUGCCUUUGACUUCUUCUGACUGAGCUAUUUGUUCACACCGCCUUUAUGCAGCUCUGAUAAAACAGAUAACAGAUAAAACAAAUAAACCUCUGAAAUAAACAAAAUUUCAAGAAUCUUCUGAAGAAGGAGACAUUGUUCUGCA